rnacentral:lncRNA from 1 species
CCCCGGAAGGUGCGAGUGGGCUGCAGCCUCUCUCCGGAGGAGCAGGGGAUGUGGGCAGCGGGGAGCCGGCGCUCUGGUGCCAGAGAAACCAGCAAAAGGCGCAGCCUCCGCCCCGCUCUGCACCUGUCUCCUGCCCGAUCGGGACGCGCGGACAGGAGUCGCUCGCUCACCUGGGUCUUGAGGAGCCAAGAAGGAUGUGCAGAGAGGCCGGGGCAGCCUCUGGAAGCAUCCCGGGCCGGGCUACCUCCGCACGCAGCUCCUUCGCAGCUGGAGUUUGCAACGCGCCCACGCGUCCAGACUCCUGACCCACCCGGGUCUUCUGCAACUUGACAGAGCGCGGGCAGAGGUGGCGCAGGUGGCGAGCUUGGGGCACCUGGGUACCUGGGGCCGUGGCCGCAACCAGCCCUCCGCCCGCGCACUUCACCACUGGGCACCGCCCAGGCCGCCCGGCUCCGAUCGCAGGGAUGGCCGGGGCUGAGGACGCUUCGCCGGACAAAGACGCUCUCCCGCCCACCAGCCAGCGAGGUGCGGUCCGCGGUGACAGCAGCCCGGCUGCAGCGGCCCAAGGCGCGCACCCCCUCCCGGCCGCCCGGAGACGCUCACCAGCCCCGGCGCCUCCUCUGGGUCGGAGCCCCGCCGGGGGAGCCGAGCGCCCUCUUCCGGCCGGACGCGGGCCUGCAGCUCACGGGGCCACAGAGACCCGGAGCAUCCAGCCUCAGACCCCAAGGAAAAGAGAGAAUAGCCUGAGGUCGCCGACCUAGGGCCCAGACUCGCACGACUUCCCUCAGAAGUAAACAUGGACGCAGUACUUCGCUGUGGCCCUUCCAGGUCGCCUGAAAGCAGCACACCUGCGAAGCCUGAAGACAAGCCAGGGCUUCAGCGGCCUCUGGUUUACAAGGCUUGGGGCAGACUGAAAAUAACGAAGCUGGUGCUGCGGGCUGGUGAGCUGGGCUUGCUUGCUUGGUCGCUUGCAUACUCUCUUGCGAGUCGGGAAAGUGGGCUCCCUCCCCCACCCCAGCACUGUUGUACUGAGCAACAUUUUAUACCAGCUGAAUUUUUGUACUAACUGGACAGGGAAAUCAUGAAAGAACACUUUUCACACGGCUGUCUUUUUAAAUUAUUCUAUGUGGCCUCUCUUUUCUUCCAGAAGAAUCUAGGGCACAUUUUAUCGCUUUUCCUGUCACCGUCGGGUGUUAACAAGCAGUUUGACUUGCCGUUAUUAUAAAGUCCAGUCCAAUCUAAAUCAAACUUUAAUCUCAUUUCAUUUAAGCCUUCCCUACUCCUCUCCCCUGGCUCACAAACUACCAGCCUGAUCUAAACGUAAACAGAACAGCCUCCUUCGCUCCCUUCACUUUCCAAUUAGGGUGUUCUGUGAAGCCUAGAGCCUCCGAGAUGGAAGGAAUGGGGUUCUGACUCGACAGCUCCCUCCUCAGGCCACCCCCCACUUCCUCCAGGGAAGCAUGUCCCCAAUAGGCCGACCCAGCUGUCUUCCACCAUGUCUCCUCAUGGUGUCCAUCACACUAAAGAAAUUCUGAUUAGCCUCUUCCUUGAGCCUUGUCAGGGGGCCAUUUCCAAGUUCAGGAAUAUCUCCACACUCCAGAUGAAAUGCAGCGGCUUCUCACCACAUUUCUCCUCAGGCUCGUCUUCCCAGGGCGAAGUGAGUGAGUCCUUCCCCUUUGCCUUGAUAGCACCCUGUCGAUCUCACAGCGAACUGCUGAACCAACAGAAUGCCCUCCUGGAAAGUCUCACACUCUAUCCCAGCAUGCACCUACCUGUCUCCAUGGCAGCACAAGGCAAGGCACUGAGCUCGUGGGAUCAUGAACAGCUAACAGCACAUAGCAGUGACUCCUUGGGAUCUGCCAGGAAACAGAGGGGAUGCCAACAUUUUGCUGACUUUCUCUUUGUUCCCCCUUUGAUUCUGGCAGGAUCCCUAGUAGAUUGGUGCUAAUCAUACACUUGAAUUACGUCCUCCCCCUCAAAGAAUCCUCCCUGGAGAUGUCCUCAUAGACACCUCCGGAAAUUCUCUCCCAUCUCCUAGCUGGUUUCAAAUUGUUGAGUUGACAAUGAAGAUUAAUGGUUACAAAUGGUAACUCGGAAAGGGCCAUACAUAGUCAAUCCAGACAGAACAAUCGUAGUCCUAUUGAGAUUUUCCAGUUUUGGAUGGACUAGCCGAAAUGGAAAGUCAAGUUGUUUUUGCUGUUUGUUUGGUUUUUUUUUUUUUUUGAUUGACUGACUGAGUGAGUGAUUGAUUGAUUGAUUGAUUGAUUGAUUUGCUCUAAGUCUGAUCCUGCCUGGGUAUCUUCUCAGAAUUCCCAAACUACAAGUCACCUACUGUGCCCAGUAGCUAUUCCAAAAUAAGCAGCAUUUUAAUACUCGUACAUUUUAAUUUAAUUGAUAUGUUCAUAUAUUUUAAUGCUGUAAUGGGGAACUGUAAACAGAAGCAAAUGUUCUUUUUUAAGGGAGGCAGGAAUGAAAUCAGCAGGUUUGGCAAUGGAGGUCACCCACAACUCCUGGAGCAGAGCUUCUCCGGACAUGAAUGCAGGUGGUUUGUUUUGGGAGGUGAGCCCAGGAAGCAGGUGCUGUGAAAUUAAAACAGUAAGACAGUGUGGUAGUUUGAAAAGACUCUUGUGUGUGAAUACUUGGCCUAUAACCAAUGGCACUACUAGGAGGUGUGGCCUUGUAAUGGGUGUGGUUUUGAGGUUUUAUAAGCUCACAUCUGGCCAGUGUCACACAGUUGCUUCUGCUGCCUGCGAUCAAGAUGUAAAACUCUCAACUCCUUCUCCAGCACCAUGUCUGCCCGUGUGCCACCAUGUCCCACAAUGAUGAUAAUGAACUAAAUCUCUGAACUGUAAGCCAGCCCCAACUAAAUGUUUUCCUUUAUAAGAGUUACCAUUGUCAUGGCCCCCAUAGGCUCAUAUAUUUGAAUGCCUGGUUCACAGUUGGUGGAGUGUUGGGAAAGGUUAGGAGGUGUGGUCUUGUUAGAGGGGAUAUGUCACUGGGGUGGUGGACUUUGAGGUUUCAAAUGCCCACCUCUUCUCUCUCUCUCUCUCUCUCUCUCUCUCUCUCUCUCUCUCUCUGCUUCCUACAGAUCAGGAUGUAGAACUCUCAGCUACUUCCCCACACUAUGUCUGCCUGCCUGCUGCCAUAUAACCUACCAUGACUGAACCUCUGAACUGUAAGCCAGUCCCCAA